rnacentral:tRNA from 1 species
AGUAUUGAGCCGGGAUUUAGCGGGUUGUUUUGAUGUGAUAAUAUUUGUGGGUAAUUAGUCCUUCCAGUGCUG